UUCAUGCCUAUUACAUCCCUUUGGUCCCAAAUUUUCAAGCAGGCAGAAAUUGCUACACAAUCAAGUAGCCCUAGGUCAGCAACUGCCCACCCCACAUUGUAGUUCAAAGGCAUCGUCUCCCAUCUGUCUCACGUUCCUUUUAGCAACCAAGCCACUUAAAAUUGUCUGUUCCCACGUCUUCCAGCUUUGCCUCCCAUCACUCUCAGUAUGUACUGCCAGAGCUUCCGUCCAUGCUAUAAUGAAAGAGCAGCACAACCUGAAGAUGUACAAAAGCACUUCCUAUUCUUCAGAAUAGGCAUGAACUGUGUGCCUCAUGAAUAACUGUACUGCUCCUGUGUCUGCACAAAUCAAUGGAAGAUUGAAAAGAAUCUUGAACAGGAAGACAGAAAACUCAAAGAGCUGACGAUACCAGAUUACCAGUUCUCUGGACAAGUAGUGAACCUAAGACUAUAAUGUACAGAGGCUCUGUUAUCUAUUCAAGAGUAGAAGUCCGGAAUACAUUCAGCAAGAACAGUUGCCCUGAAGCACUAAUGCAGGUUAUAUCUGAUUAUCCUUCUAUUUUUGACUUUACAUUGGUAAAGUAUGAUUACCAGCUUUGGCCAGCCAGCAGAGCCAUUGCCAUUAGUAGAGCAAUUCAUGUCGGCAUGAGGUAUACACGCAUGAAGAGGCAACUGCAUCUCAUGUUGCAAGUGGGAUAAGUCAGUGGUACACCAGUGAAUGACUUCAACUUUGGUUCCAUCUGAGGAGAAAGCAUUUCCCAGCACAGAAGUUAUACACUGUGGUACAUCCUGCAAGACUCCAACUGCAAGUGGAAGGCAAAUUCAACCCCUCUGGUGCACUAACUCACACAUGUGCAGCCAUUCCUCCCCCAGGGCAACACAGUCAUUUUGAGUUAACUUCAUGUAAGCC
rnacentral:lncRNA from 1 species